AGCUCCAAUAGCGUAUAUUAAAGUUGUUGCAGUUAAAAAGCUCGUAGUUGAACUUCAGGCUAGGUUGGUCGGUCCACCUAACAGUGAGUACUGACUGGCCUGGUCUUCCUUCUGGGUACUUAGGCUGCUUUUAACUGGGUGGGUUAAUGGUCCAGGACUUUUACUUUGAAAAAAUUAGAGUGUUCAAAGCAGGCCUACGCUUGAAUACAUUAGCAUGGAAUAAUAGAAUAGGACUUUGGUUCUAUUU
rnacentral:rRNA from 1 species